rnacentral:rRNA from 1 species
GACGAACGCUGGCGGCGUGCUUAACACAUGCAAGUCGAACGAAGUGGCGAACGGGUGAGUAACGCGUAAUCAACCUGCCCUUCAGAGGGGGACAACAGUUGGAAACGACUGCUAAUACCGCAUACUGAAGGAGGGGAUUGCGUCUGAUUAGCUAGGUGGAGGGGUAACGGCCCACCAAGGCGAUGAUCAGUAGCCGGUCUGAGAGGAUGAACGGGCACAAUUGGAAUGAGGAACGGGCCAGACUCCCACGGGAGGCAGGAGGGGGGAAUCUUCCGCAAUGGACGAAAGGCUGAAGGAGCAACGCCGCGUGAGUGAGGACGGCCUUCGGGUUGUAAAGCUCUGUUAAUCGGGACGCGGUACCGGAAUAGAAAGCCACGGCUAACUACGUGCCAGCAGCCGCGGUAAUUC